AUUUCCCCAAUGGGUUCUCCGGAUUUCUGGAGACUUGUAGGGGUUGUGGGAUUUUUGAUGUGUCGUCUCCGGACGGGCGGUGCAGGGUAGUCGAGUUAGACUUGGUGGAAUUCCGUCGAUAGGAGUUCCGUCGAGUCUGGUCGGCUGUGUGUUGGACGGUGUAGGGUAGGCUGCUUGGACAUGGUCGGUUCGAGGAUCGAUUCGAGGGCCGGCCUGUCGAUGAUGUGUGAUGUAUGCGGUCUAGGGUAGGUUGGUUUGUCUUGGUUCGAUUUGAUGUCGGCUCCCGUGCAGGCCAGAGUGAGGGGGGUCCAGGGUAGGUGCAGGGUAGGCAGCUUAGAUUUGGUCGAUCUGGAGGUCGAUUCUCCGGCUGGCGGAUCUGACACUGUCGAAACGAGAUGCGAGGGGUGUAGGGUAGGCUAGUUUCGUACUUGCCAGGUUGCGAUUUGGACGAGAUAUGUGGUUUAGGGUAGGCUCUAGGGUAAGUAGAAUUCGAGUUUCGUCGCCGAUAGUUUUCUGUGGGUGUAUGGUAGGUACAGGGUAGGCAAAUCUCUCUCCGGCCAGUACUUGUCUCGUGGUCGUGAGUCGAUUUUUUUGUUUU
rnacentral:misc_RNA from 2 species